rnacentral:tRNA from 1 species
GAGGCUAUAGCUUAAUUAAAGUGCCUGCUUUGCACGUAGGUGAUGUGGGUUAGUGUCCCACUAGUCUUA